rnacentral:rRNA from 1 species
CCUACGGGAUGCAGCAGUGGGGAAUCUUGGGCAAUGGGCGCAAGCCUGACCCAGCAACGCCGCGUGCAGGAUGAAGGCUUUCGGGUCGUAAAAUUCUUUUCUCAGGGACGAUGAUAGUGACGGUCCCUGAGGAAUAAGCCACGGCUAACUAUGUGCCAGCAGCCGCGGUCAUACGUAGGUGGGAAGAGUUAUCCGGUUGUACUGGGUGUAAAGGGCGUGUCGGCGGGGAAACAAGUCAGAUGUGAAAACCACGGGCUCAACCUGUGGCCUGCAUUUGAAACUGUUGUUCUUGAGUACUGGAGAGGCAGACGGAAUUCCGAGUGUAGCGGGGAAAUGCGGAGAUAUUAGGAGGAACACCAGUGGCGAAGGCGGUCUGCUGGACAGCAACUGACGCUGAGGCGCGAAAGCGUGGGGAGCAAACAGGAUUAGAUACCCCAGUAGUC